AUUGAACGCUGGCGGCAGGCCUAACACAUGCAAGUCGAACGAGAGGCGGACGGGUGAGUAAUGUCUGGGCAACUGCCUGAUGGAGGGGGAUAACUACUGGAAACGGUAGCUAAUACCGCAUACCAUCAGAUGGGCUCUGGUUGGUUUAGCUAGUUGGUGGGGUAACGGCUCACCAAGGCGACGCUCCCUAGCUGGUCUGAGAGGAUGACCAGCCAACCUGGGACUGAGACACGGUCCAGACUCCUACGGGAGGCAGCAGUGGGGAAUAUUGCACAAUGGGCGAAAGCCUGAUGCAGCCAUGCCGCGUGUAUGAAGAAGGCCUUCGGGUUGUAAAGUACUUUCAGCGGGGAGGCGUUACCCGCAGAAGAAGCACCGGCUAACUCCGUGCCAGCAGCCGCGGUAAUUC
rnacentral:rRNA from 1 species